rnacentral:rRNA from 1 species
UAAUGCAGUCGAGCGAACGGACGAGAAGCUUGCUUCUCUGAUGUUAGCGGCGGACGGGUGAGUAACACGUGGAUAACCUACCUAUAAGACUGGGAUAACUUCGGGAAACCGGAGCUAAUACCGGAUAAUAUUUUGAACCGCAUGGUUCAAAAGUGAAAGACGGUCUUGCUGUCACUUAUAGAUGGAUCCGCGCUGCAUUAGCUAGUUGGUAAGGUAACGGCUUACCAAGGCAACGAUGCAUAGCCGACCUGAGAGGGUGAUCGGCCACACUGGAACUGAGACACGGUCCAGACUCCUACGGGAGGCAGCAGUAGGGAAUCUUCCGCAAUGGGCGAAAGCCUGACGGAGCAACGCCGCGUGAGUGAUGAAGGUCUUCGGAUCGUAAAACUCUGUUAUUAGGGAAGAACAUAUGUGUAAGUAACUGUGCACAUCAUGACG